GUGAAUUAAUUCUCUUAUGAAUUGUCAGCUAUGUAAAGGUAGAUAUGCUUUCCCCCACUCUUUUUAAAUAGAAAAUAAAUCAUUCUCAUCCUCAAAGUACUAAGAGUCACAGAAAGAUUGCUCGGCAUCAGGCUUCUUCAUCAGUGUUCUCGUGGCAACAAGAAAAGACACACAGCUGUCCUUCAUCCAGCAGUCAAGAAACCCUUUAAAGAGAGGUUUUUACUUCAUCCCAUUUUCCAUGGGGAUAGGAGGCAAUUCCUAGUCACAGUGGCUUAAGAUCAAAGAAGACAGAUUUCAACAACAAGUUCCCUGAAAAUGGUGGUAAUUCUUCCGUCAUCGAGCAGUUAAAAACACAGAACCAAGCGUGAAAUGUUGGAGCAAAAAAUGGACGACCUACUGAGUCAUCAGAGACAAUUUGUCGAAAAUAAUCGUCGGUCCUUAGAACAGAAAAUAAAAGAAAAGGAAAAGUCUUCUACAUUUCUAAGAAGUGUUUCAUCAGCUACAUGACUUACUGACAGGGGAUCUGCCGUGCGACCAGAUAAACCAGGACUUGCAGCAAGCCAACGAUGCUCU